AAGAAGAAUCCAAAGCUCCCAAAUUCUUCUAGUAUACGGUUCAACAAAAAAAUAUUUUAGUCUGAAAAAGUAUUUAAAAAAUUUCAGGGCCUGCCUAAACCCAAACCCCUAGGACCACAGCAACAGUGGGUGAGACCUAUCUCCCAUCACCAGCACCUAUAUGAUGAUCUUGACAUUAUUGGUUGGGUGCCCACUCGUAAUUUUAGGAAACGCUAGCUUAAAUUGGGAGAUCAAAAGAACUGAACAUGGAUUGUCAGACACAAACAUAAAAAUACAAUUUUGGAGUUGCACUUGUGUACAAAUUUAUAGGUGGAAAAAAAAAACAAUGAAAGUAAAACCAUAUACCUGAUGUUCUGUGAAGCUUUAUCUAAUGCCAUUGCCACCAACUCCCUGAUUCCACUGAACUACUUGUUGAUGCAACAAAGUUGUGUCUGUAUCUCCUUCCUUUGCCGGCAACUCCUCUAUCUCUCCGCAAUUUUGCUUAAAAAGAUGAAUGAUUUUCUCAGCCACCUCUGCUUCAUCUUUGCUUUCUUCAACCAAUUUAUCCAAUUUGGCCUUUGGCAAUC
rnacentral:lncRNA from 1 species